ensembl:lncRNA
CACAGAGGGAGGCGACAGGGAGUUUAAAAGAAUCAGUCUGUGAGAUAGACACGCUUGUUGCAACUAAAUUUGUCAGUUGAAGUUUUCAGUAACUUCGAUUCUGGAUCCACAGCACCACCGAUAAUAAUGAUGUUCUGCAGAGCGACUUGGCAAAGGCUUGCGCCUCUGGCACGCAAAACACUAACUCCUUUCAGCAAUGCUGUAUUCCCUACGCGACAGAUGUCCUUUGGUCUACCGGCGUCCGGCACAAACAUAGCUUACGUGGUACUUGGUGGAAGCUCACUUACUGCAGCUCUUGUUUAUGCUUAUAAGACAAUAAAUUCUGACAGUGCAAGAUAUAAUGAAAGAAUUGCUCAACUCGAGGCCAGACCUAAAAGUAAGUUGAUUUUUAUUUUAUUUUGUGGUGUAGUUUUGUUUUUGUCUAUGAAUAUCU